AGCGGCGGACGGGUGAGUAACGCGUGGGUAACCUGCCCUAUACACACGGAUAACAUACCGAAAGGUAUGCUAAUACGAGAUAAUAUAAGAGAUUCACAUGGAUUUCUUAUCAAAGCUGAGGCGGUAUAGGAUGGACCCGCGUCUGAUUAGCUAGUUGGUAAGGUAACGGCUUACCAAGGCGACGAUCAGUAGCCGACCUGAGAGGGUGAUCGGCCACAUUGGAACUGAGACACGGUCCAAACUCCUACGGGAGGCAGCAGUGGGGAAUAUUGCACAAUGGGCGAAAGCCUGAUGCAGCAACGCCGCGUGAGUGAUGAAGGCCUUCGGGUCGUAAAACUCUGUCCUCAAGGAAGAUAAUGACGGUACUUGAGGAGGAAGCCCCGGCUAACUACGUGCCAGCAGCCGCGGUAAUACGUAGGGGGCUAGCGUUAUCCGGAUUUACUGGGCGUAAAGGGUGCGUAGGUGGUCUCUUAAGUCAGGAGUGAAAGGCUGCGGCUUAACCGUAGUAAGCUCUUGAAACUGGGAGACUUGAGUGCAGGAGAGGAAAGUGGAAUUCCUAGUGUAGCGGUGAAAUGCGUAGAUAUUAGGAGGAACACCAGUAGCGAAGGCGGCUUUCUGGACUGUAACUGACACUGAGGCACGAAAGCGUGGGGAGCAAACAGGAUUAGAUACCCUGGUAGUCCACGCCGUAAACGAUGAGUACUAGGUGU
rnacentral:rRNA from 1 species